GGCUAUUGUUAUUAUGAUCCCAAAAAUAAGACUCAGGACCACAGCCCUAGCACCCGGAUGACUACUGCAUGCUGGUAUUCCUCAUCCCUAGUCUGGAGUCUGCACUGCCCAAGAGAGCUUGUAUAGCUCAUCAACCUGACAGGUUACAUUUUCAUCACCCUAUUCUCAACGCCAAAAAAGAAUAUUGAGAUGGAUUCAUGUGAUGGCUUUGGAACACUG
rnacentral:lncRNA from 1 species